GACGAACGCUGGCGGCGUGCCUAAUACAUGCAAGUCGAACGCAGUGGGAGCAGUGGAUUAACACGUGGGUAACCUCCCAUCAGAGGGGAUAAAACUUGGAUACAGGUGCUAAACCGAUACUGAUGUAGGUACCAGCGGGGGAUUAGCUAGUUGGUGGGGUAACGGCUCACCAAGGCAUCGAUGCCUAGCUGACCGGAGAGGGUGAUCGGCCACACUGGGACUGAGACACGGCCCAGACUCCUACGGGAGGCAGCAGUGGGGAAUAUUGGGCAAUGGACGAAAGUCUGACCGAGCAACGCCGCGUGAGUGAAGAAGGUUUUCGGAUCGUAAAAUUCUGUUGUUAGAGAAGCGGUAUCUAACCAGAAAGCCACGGCUAACUACGUGCCAGCAGCCGCGGUAAUAC
rnacentral:rRNA from 1 species